AAGCACCACAGAGGUGUGUGGCCUGAUAUGCCCCCAGGGCCAAACAGAGGGCCCUCAUUAGGCCCCUGGGCCUGAGAUCCCCCCACUCCCGGACUGCAGCAACCAUGGACGCAUAAGCUAGCUGGAAUAGGAUGGCGUGCAAUGAACAUUUUCCAUGGGCCUGGACGACAGCAAGUUUAUUCGAAGAAAGGGGGAAAUGAAGAGAACUAGGAAAUAUAAUAUGCUAUCAAAACACAAGGCAGCACUGGAAGUGGGUGAAGCGGGCAGGAGCUGGUGAUGAGGACAUGGAAUGGAGAGCAAAUGUUUUGUGUUGAGAGGCAUCACAUCAAAUUAUCCUGAAACUGAGGAACAUGAUGCACAAUCUGGGUAACAAUUGAGAUGAAUCAACCACCACACUCAGCAAACAAUAUAUAUUGAUAACUCCCCCACUCCACCAGCAAGAUGUAUGUUUUUUAUUAUGUUUUUUUUAUUAUUAAAAAGUAAAUGAAUUGCA